CUGUAGCCAGGACAGCCCUCGGGAACCCCUGGACGCGGUAUCGCCGGAAGUCACGCGUCACGAAAGAACACCGGCAGCC
rnacentral:ncRNA from 1 species